AUUGAACGCUGGCGGCAUGCCUUACACAUGCAAGUCGAACGGCAGCGGACCUUCGGGUGCCGGCGAGUGGCGAACGGGUGAGUAAUAUAUCGGAACGUACCUUUCAGUGGGGGAUAACGUAGCGAAAGUUACGCUAAUACCGCAUAUUCUGUGAGCAGGAAAGCAGGGGAUCGCAAGACCUUGCGCUGAUGGAGCGGCCGAUAUCAGAUUAGCUAGUUGGUGAGGUAAAGGCUCACCAAGGCGACGAUCUGUAGCGGGUCUGAGAGGAUGAUCUGCCACACUGGAACUGAGACACGGUCCAGACUCCUACGGGAGGCAGCAGUGGGGAAUUUUGGACAAUGGGCGCAAGCCUGAUCCAGCCAUGCCGCGUGAGUGAAGAAGGCCUCGGUUGUAAGGUACUACUUUCGGUCCGGGUAACGGAAAGUACGAC
rnacentral:rRNA from 1 species